UUUUCUCUUUUCAACAAACUGCAUUCUUCUCUAGUGCAUUGCUCCCCUUCAGGUGCGUUCUCUUUCAAUUUUCUAUCCAUUUUUGUAAAUAUUCUUCUUCUUCUCAAUUUAUGUCCCCUGCUUUGAUUUUUGAAUCACGGAUUAUGUCUUUUGUGUUGCUUAUUAUUUCAAUUUAAGUUAUUUUUCAUUAAGUUAUUUUCAGGCUAGGAAUACGGUUUAUUGGUAUUGUAUUGUGUCUAGGAAAUUUUUGAAGUGAAGUAUCCAGUUGGGCGAAUCAACUUCACAAUGUCACUGCUCGUCUUAAGGUGGUUUUUCUUUCUUUCUUCUUAAUUUCAUUUAUUUUUUUUAUUAUCUCAGUAGCAGUAGAAUUUGGGAUUUUCAGUUGCAGUUAUUUCUUGAAUCAAUAAUUAAACCCUUAUGGACAAUCUAGCUUGAAAUUUAUCUCUUUUUUAAAGAGUGUUGACAUUCGAUGGAAGACCAUUCUUUUGUAGAUGUUUUGCAUCUGGCUACAGAUUAUUCAGUGUUGUCGUAAGGUGCUCCUUUAUUUAACGCAAAGCUUUUUCAGGUUCCAAUUAGAAUUUAGUUCUGUUGUGUGAUGUUGAAAUUGAUUAAAGAGACCCACAAAUUAAUAUAAUAUGGGAGAGCAUAAAUACAUUUUAUAUUGCGGAUUGUUUAGUCAGGGGACUUGCUAAUAUUUUUCUCACUUCUACAUUGAGGAAUAUCAAGACAGUACAUGAUCUUUAAUGUAUGCAUCUCUUUCACUUGCUAUGGUCUGACAAAUUUUCCUUCUCUAGCUCAUACUUUAGUAAUUUAGUUUUCCAUUUCCCUUAGAAAAUGAAUUAUUGCAAAUGAAAACUUUCUCUAGUAAUGUCUUGCAUCGUAUUAUUAUUGCAGAUGUACACGUUUCUAAGAGUACUGGAUUCGGUGGUGUAAUUUCAAACCCCCCUAUCAGGUAAGUUGACUCAUUUUAUCGAAAAAACUAGCUUAUUUACAACUCGUAUAAGUUUUGAACAUGUUUUAUAUAUGCCUCCAAAUUCGAAUAUCUCUAGCUACAAAGAUCAUUAGGCAGGAAAAUUAUUUGUAUGCUACUGAUAUUUUAUUUAUUUGAAAAAAGAAUAUGAACUAUAACUUUCUAUAUGAUUACUCGAGAUUGAAGGUGAAGAACAUGAGCCUUACAUCGAAGUAUCUCAAGCAUAAAUAUGGUGUACUAUGUAGAGGUUGUUUUCAAUAAAGGAUGGAGUGUUUUUGUAAAUCUAAAUCCAAUAGAUUUGUAUGAUAUAGAAGAAAAAGUUGUGGAAGAUGAAGGUUAUGAGAAUGAGCCAUAGUAAGAAUUAGGAUACAACUAGCUGCAGACCAAGGCAAAUGUUGUUACUUAUUUAGCAACAAAUGCAUGCAAAUUUGAAUAAAAUUUUGAUUUAAUACGGUGUUUUAUUUGAAGGUAAUAGUAUUGCAUAUUUAAGUAGUGCUUAUUUCAUUUAUUUCGUUUAUAGGCAUGUUUAGAGAUGAUAUUUGUAUUUGUUUUAAAGGAAAGUUCAAAAAUGGUAUUCAUAUUUGAUUCUCCUGAUUUUUUAUUUCUUGUAUUCAUAUGUGUUCUCCGUAAGAGGAUCUCUUACUAUGAAGUGAUUCAAGGGACAAAAGACUUUGAUAAAGCCAACUUGAUUGGAUACUAAUCUAUGCAUAUUUUGGUUUUAACAGAUUGAUAUGCUAUUAUGAUAACAUUGAGCGGUAAGUUAAAAUUUUCAAUCUUUUCACAUCUUUCCCCCAGGUUAUAUUACGUAACUAAGAGUAAUUUGUUGUAUAUUCUCUUGUAGUUACUGAUGAUAUAGAUACUAGUGGAAUUCAUGCCUUAGAAAAAGUUUUGUGCGUUUUAAUUUGUUGUUUCUUUUGUUUGAAGUUGGAUCCAACAAAUUUUGACAUGCUUGGUUUGUUUAACUAACUACUCAUAUAAGAUUGUUCCUAUUAUGUUCAAUUCUUCUACUUCAGUUUUCUAGUGUUGUUAGCUUCAGUUUUGAUGCAAAUUUAACUUUUGUUAAUAAUUGGGAUAGAUUACACAUUAUACUUUAUUUGUUUGAUUUUAAUGUUAGAAAGUCUAUAAUAUUGCACCCAAAAGUGUGGCCUAGUGGUCAAUGAAGUGGGUGAGAACCAUAAGAUCUCAAGUUCAAAUCCCAGUGGAGGCAAAUACUAGGUAAUUUCUUCCCAUCUAUCCAAACCUUGAUGGAUAGAGUUACCUGGUACCUGUUGUUAGUGGGAGGUGGCAAGUAUCCCGUGAAAUUAGUCGAAGUGCGCGCAAGCUGGCCCGGACACCACGGUUAUCAAGAAAGCCUAUAAUGAUUAACUUAUAUUUUAUCAGUUACAUUGUGGUUUUCGUGAAUAUUUGACAAGAAUUUAUGUUACCAAGUAAAAUAGUUUGUGGACGUAAGUGUUGUGAUGAUAUUCAAGGAAAUAACUUUGUACGUUAGCUCUUAUUUAUGUGAGUAUCUAACAACUUCAUUUCAAUGUUAUUGUUAGACCAAGUAACAUAUUUAUUUGUAAGAGAAUAUGAGCUUUCGUUUAUUUAUAUACCAAGAACCUCCUUUUAGCUUGUUGGCAAAAUGUUAUUCGUUUAUAAGUUUUUGAUAAAAUUUCAUUGUUUCAGCAUGUGAUAUGUAGAGUGAGUCUACUUCAUUUGGUGGAUGUGAGAAUAUGAUCAGAUGGCAGCAAUACAAAUCACCAAGCAAAUACUUGGCAUAUCUCUA
rnacentral:lncRNA from 1 species